rnacentral:rRNA from 1 species
UACGUAGGGGGCAAGCGUUAUCCGGAUUUACUGGGUGUAAAGGGAGCGCAGGUGGCAAGGCAAGCCAGAAGUGAAACCCCGGGGCUUAACCCCGCGGAUUGCUUUUGGAACUGUCUGGCUUGAGUGCAGGAGGGGCAGGCGGAAUUCCUAGUGUAGCGGUGAAAUGCGUAGAUAUUAGGAGGAACACCGGUGGCGAAGGCGGCCUGCUGGACUGUAACUGACACUGAGGCUCGAAAGCGUGGGGAGCAAACAGG